rnacentral:lncRNA from 1 species
ACACAAUGGAGUGCUUUCAUACUUGCAUCUCAUUGUAGGAAUAUGAAACAACUCACCAAACUUAAAAGUGAUGAAGAAUACCAGGAAUGUUAUUCAUUAGUCCCGUGUCUGAAGAACACAGAUGAACUCAGUUUGCCAGAACUUAUGUAGAAGGGAUUCCAUCCAUGUAAGUUUUUACUUAACAAAUGAAGACUGGUCCUAGC